rnacentral:rRNA from 1 species
AGAGUUUGAUUAUGGCUCAGAACGAACGCUGGCGGCAGGCCUAACACAUGCAAGUCGAACGAUAUAGUGGCAGACGGGUGAGUAACGCGUGGGAACGUACCUUUCACUACGGAAUAGCUCUGGGAAACUGGUGGUAAUACCGUAUACGCCCUUAGGGGGAAAGAUUUAUCGGUGAAAGAUCGGCCCGCGUUGGAUUAGCUAGUUGGUGAGGUAAUGGCUCACAAAGGCGACGAUCCAUAGCUGGUCUGAGAGGAUGAUCAGCCACACUGGGACUGAGACACGGCCCAGACUCCUACGGGAGGCAGCAGUGGGGAAUCUUGCACAAUGGGCGAAAGCCUGAUGCAGCCAUGCCGCGUGAAUGAUGAAGGCCUUAGGGUUGUAAAAUUCUUUCGUCAGGGAUGAUAAUGACCGUACCUGAAGAAGAAGCCCCGGCUAACUUCGUGCCAGCAGCCGCGGUAAUACGAAGGGGGCUAGCGUUGUUCGGAAUUACUGGGCGUAAAGCGCACGUAGACGGACUUUUAAGUCAGGUGUGAAAUCCCGGGGCUCAACCUCGGAACUGCAUUUGAAACUGGAAGUCUGGAGAUCAGGAGAGGUUAGCGGAAUACCGAGUGUAGAGGUGAAAUUCGUAGAUAUUCGGUGGAACACCAGUGGCGAAGGCGGCUAACUGGACUGAUACUGACGCUGAGGUGCGAAAGUGUGGGGAGCAAACAGGAUUAGAUACCCUGGUAGUC